GAAAUUCUUACUUCAUUUUUGUACAUCCAGUAGAGAAUAGUGGAGAGGAUAUGGCGAAUCCAGAAAUUACUAUCAAGAUUUUAUUAAAAAAGUGCAGUAGCAAUUUAACAGUAAAGUUCACUUCGAAAACUGAAGCGUAAUAUGGACAUUUGUCGAGUUUUAUUUGUUGUAGAAAAGACAAAAAUUUUAGCUAGAAUUUGCAAGGGGAAAUUCUGGCCUUUCAAAUCUUAGAAAUAAUGGAGAAAUUUCUUCCCUGGAGUUGGAUAGCUCAGAUGUAAUCUGGGGGAUGAAAUGGUUGAGCUCGCUGGGUAAAAUGCAAGUAGAUUGUAAUUCGCUGUCUAUGAGAUUUCAUGCGGGCAAAUUUAGUGCGGGAGUAAUAGACUCAGUUGUCCCCACACUAAAUUUCAAUUCCAAGACAUUAAAUGAAGAUUUUUUCAAGAUUUUGUAGAAGAUUUUCAAAAAAUUCCUUAUAGUUUUCAAUUUUGCACCCACAAUUAAAAUUUCGUAAAAUUUUCCUCCCCGCCCAACUCUUUUGUCCUAGCUCCACCACUACUAACAGAGAGACCUAGUCUUAGUAGAACCUCAGUUUCCAUAAAGUCCAUGCCAAAACUUUUUCAUGAAAACGGAGAGGGAAUGUUGUUAGAAUUGGAAAGUAUUUUAGCCGAGUUUGGUAAAAUGAGUUUGGAAGUGCCAAACAAGUUGAAGGACACGUCGACAGAAUUUGAAAGGAUAUUUAUGGAGCCAUUUGGGUUGCCACUACCGCAGGAAAGGGACUAAUGCUACCAAAAAUUGUAACUGCUGAUUUUCAAAGCUUGACGACCGUGAAUGAACACGAGCGAGAUCUUUCGAUACUUAAAACAAAAGCGUCGAGGUAUUUCCUCCUCAUCCCUCCAAUGCAUAAAUCAGAAAGAGAAUUUGUGCGUGAGGCUUUAAG
rnacentral:lncRNA from 1 species